AUUGAACGCUGGCGGCAGGCCUAACACAUGCAAGUCGAACGGUAACAGGAAACAGCUUGCUGUUUCGCUGACGAGUGGCGGACGGGUGAGUAAUGUCUGGGAAACUGCCUGAUGGAGGGGGAUAACUACUGGAAACGGUAGCUAAUACCGCAUAACGUCGCAAGACCAAAGAGGGGGACCUUCGGGCCUCUUGCCAUCGGAUGUGCCCAGAUGGGAUUAGCUAGUAGGUGGGGUAACGGCUCACCUAGGCGACGAUCCCUAGCUGGUCUGAGAGGAUGAACAGCCGCACUGGAAAUGAGACACGGUCCAGACUCCUACGGGAGUCAGCAGUGGGGAAUAUUGCACAAUGGGCGCAAGCCUGAUGCAGCCAUGCCGCGUGUAUGAAGAAGGCCUUCGGGUUGUAAAGUACUUUCAGCGGGGAGGAAGGGAGUAAAGUCAAUACCUUUGCUCAUUGACGUUACCCGCGGAAGAAGCACCGGCUAACUCCGUGCCAGCCGCCGCGGUAA
rnacentral:rRNA from 1 species